UGCCAGCCGCCGCGGUAAUACGAAGGGGGCUAGCGUUGUUCGGAUUUACUGGGCGUAAAGCGCACGUAGGCGGAUCGUUAAGUGAGGGGUGAAAUCCCAGGGCUCAACCCUGGAACUGCCUCUCAUACUGGCGAUCUCGAGUUCGAGAGAGGUGAGUGGAAUUCCGAGUGUAGAGGUGAAAUUCGUAGAUAUUCGGAGGAACACCAGUGGCGAAGGCGGCUUUCUGGACCGAUACUGACGCUGAGACGCGAAAGCGUGGGGAGCAAACGGGAUUAGAUA
rnacentral:rRNA from 1 species